ACGUUUUAUUACUUAUCAACGAAAAUUAAUAUCAAGCAUUUUUUAAUGUUAGGUUUUGUUAAUGCAAAUUAAACAUUAAUUUAUGUAUUUGUAUCCAUUUAUUAAUCAAUUGACCUUAUCAAUUAAUGAUUUUCAGAUAAACAAGCCCAAACAACAUUAUCAAGUGUUUAAAGUUUGGUCACUUUGUGGGUGCCACCAACACCACGUUAAUAGUUAAUGUAAUCUUUCAUUCAUUUUAAUAAUCUAAAUUCCGAGACUCCUACCGCUAUCAUUCAGAGAUGGCACUAGUUUGAACUAAAAAUCAUAAAAUGGAAUUGUAUUGAUUAUUUUUAUAUUUAUCAGCAAACGUGGGCAUUCGGCACGAGAAUUGUGUUUGUUUUGUACACAAUUCCCGAGUGCCGUCGUUGAAAUCCCUUCACACCGGAUACAGCUUCUUCUAGUUUAGUUUAGAUCGCAGGUAUCGUGCCUAUUGCGAUUUGCGCACAAGGCCAUCGACGCGCUUGUUUUGCACAUCUCUUACUUUCUUAUCGCAAACUGUCGCGUAGUUGCUUGCUAGGCUACGGCAGGCGCUAUCGAUGGGGUUUGCAGGCAGUUUCGUGCCGGUCGUCGGGUGAUCGAGACGUGUUUUGACCGUCUCGUUUGUUUGUUCGGACUUCUGCUUUCUAAAUUUGCAUUAUAUUCGAUUAAUUAUCAAUCGCCUAUUUCAUUGUAAAUACAUUCUUUAGUAAUGCUAUUUAUUAUUUUUAUGUACAUAAUUGUUCAAAAGUGGUAACUAUUUGAUUGCGUUUCGUGUGCACACUUAUGCAAGUUACAAGGUUUGGUGUCGGUCGCAAAUGAAACGGAUAUAGGAUGGCCCCAUGUAGAUUUAUUCAUCAUUACCCUUGUCGAAUUCCUAGAUUACCCGAUGCAGGGGUAAGUUUGUAAAUAUUAUUACAUCAUUAUUACAUUUUGCUUUUUAAUCGCGUGUAGUGAAAGUAUCGUUAUAGUUCAAAAUUGUCGCGUGCCGUCGGAUACAUUUUUGACCUCGCUGCAGAAAGUUGGUUUUACUAUCUUUAUUCAUCUCACAUUUUUCUGUUGUUUUGCAAUCUUUAUUCUGCAAUCGCGUUGAUAUGUCUAGUAGUUUGACAAUUACUGUCCGUAAAAUGUAUGUAAUACGCGAUUUCAAUAUUUUCUUUCGCGUGUGCGUGCCGUCGGCCGGCACUUUGUCGGGAGAUUGCGUCGCAAAUAUAAUCUUUUAGUGGCA